AGCAGGAGGGUUAAUGGAGUAGAAAAUAGAAACAGGCUGUAAUUCCUGAAAAGGCUGGGUCAGAAAGAGCCAGAAGAUUGAAAAAUUGAUGAAGAAAAAUUGGUCAGGUACAAGCCCUUCACCAAAGUACUCCUUAAAAUUUUGGCUUGGAAUCCAGAAAGGGGGCAUGCACAUGUUCUUAAGGUAACAAAGUCCAUAAAUGCUCAUAACAAGCCUCGGGUUAUGGUGAAGGUGGCUCUUAGAAACUCAUUUUUUCUUUAGAACCGAUACCCCUUAUUCCCAAGACUGCGCUACAACCGUUCUGGGUAAAUGUGAGGCAUUUGCAAAGCCCAUGUUCCUUGUCUUAAAUGUGUCCUUCCCAGGAAGUGGAAAGGCUUAAAUUAUAUUUAAUUAGGAUUUAUUCAGCUCCUCUGUGCUUUCAGUUGAUCAGCACUGAGAAACUUGUUUAUGGAGGUGAGUGUUUACUGCCUUUGGAAAUCUGUGGCCUGUGCUUAGGAUACCUUGGAGAUUACUUCUGGAGAGAAACUCUGAAUGAGUGGCAGCAGGGGUUGGAAAACCUCCCUCUGAUACAGAGUCACCCUGUUAGUUCACACAGUGGGUCACAACUCAGGGGAGGUAUUUCAGAAGGCUGGCUAAUCAGAGAAGCUGUGUGGUCCUAAAACUACUUAAAUUGUCUUCUUCAUUUUACACUCGGUAGGACCAUUACAUCAGGUCAGAUUCUUUACCUCCGGAUAGUAGUAAUACCUGAGAGGAAUGGCUUUAGCUGGGAAGGAAGGGAGGUGGAAACUUACUCUUUCUUAGCUCCUGAUCUGUGUGCUCUUGAUAGGUGAUGGAAAAAGAAGCCUGGAUAGGGAGAUGGGUUCUUACCAAUGUUCACCUUGGUUAACUCUGCAGAAGUCAAUUGACCAACCUUGUUAAAGUUAUCAUCUGCAAUAGCACAGAAGUGGGAAGCAACAGGGUUAUAGACAGAUUUAUCCCUGCGUUGGAGAAAGGCACAAAAUGAUUAACACAGGUUAUGCAGAUACUUACUGACUAAAUGUUUAUAUGCCUCCCAAAUUCAUGUCCUGAAGCCCUAACCCCCAUUGUAUUGGCAUAUCGAAGUUGGGCCUUUGGGAGGUAAUUAAGUUUAGACGAAGUCCUGAUGGGGUCUCCAUUAUGGGAUUAGUGUCCUUAUAAGAAGAGAAAGAUACCAGAGCUCCCUGUCUCCCCACAAUGGAGAAAUAGCUGUCUACAAGCCACAAGCCACAAGCCAGAAAGAGAAUUGUCAUCAAAACCUGAUCAUGCUGGCACCCUGGUCUUACACGUCUAUUCAGUCUCCAGAAGUGUGAGAAAUAGAUUUCUGUUGUUUAAGCUUGAGCUAAGUAAGACAUAAACAAGCCAGUCUGGCAUCUGCCGCAAUAUGAGCCUGUCUCAGAGUGAAAAUCCAUGGGCCCCCUGUCAAGGAAAUGCUAUUUCUGAGCACAGUGAUUAAGAAUGGCUGGAAAGAAUUGGUUUUUCCUUUCCCCUUAGUUGUGUACUAGCUCCUUCACUUUGAGCAAGCAGCUUCCCUAAGUCUUGUUUGUUUUCUCACCUGCAAAAGAAGGAUAGCAAUCCUACCCAUCUCGUAGGCUCUUUAUGCUCAAGCAGGUUAGCACAUAUAAACGUUUGGCAUAGUUUCUAGCACACAUUAGGUGCUCAAUAAAUGUUGGCCAUAUUGAAUGGCUACUUAUGGUCGUGCAGAGAGUUUGGCUCUUUCCUACCUCACCAGUCCUAGCACCCACCAUUCUCUCCACUGCUUUGGGAGCAUAAGCUACCCUGGCUGUCUUUGGGUGUUUUUGUUUUUUUGUUUCAAGUAAGCCAUGUCUCUCCCACCUCAGGGCCUUUGCAGAUGCUGUUUCCUCUGCCUCGAAUAUAACCACUCUCUUUGCCUAGUUAACUCACAUCCAACCAUUGGCUUUCAGCUCAACCAUAACUUUUUUGGGAAACCUUCCUUGAAUUCUGUGGCACUAGCUCUCUAUCCAUCCCCUGUUGUAACCAUGCUGGCAUAUUUUUUCAAGUAUUUUUGUGAUGAUUGGGUUAUGAUUUUUCUUUCCCAACAGAAAGCUUUAUGAGAACUCACUGUGGCCUUAAACUCUGCAGGCAGAAAAAACUACUGACUGAAGAAAUCCAUGCUGUGUUUUGAUGUAGCUCCCAGAGCACAAGGGUGGCAACUGUUCCUCAGAGCUGAAAAUGCCAAGUCAAACCUAUAAUGUCCGGGGUGGCAGCUAAGGGAAGAGAGCUAAAUGCACAAUUCAACCUGCUCCUAAUAUAUUUCUGAGAGACUGAGGUCUAGACAGUUUCAUUUGGCUUGUGAGGACUUUGGCAAGACUCAACAAAUAGGAAAAUCCCUCAACUCAACCACAGGCUGGGAAAUGCCAGCACCACAAGGCAUUUGGGAGCUCAAAUUCACUGAAGAAAUGGCAGAUUCAUGUCUCCUGGCUUAUGCUCACUCCAGGGUAUCCACUGGAUAAAUGGGCCAGGUUGAGGCUUUCUGCAAGACAGGAGUCAAAAUGGAGGAUUAAAUGGUGAGUUUGAUGCCUUAUUCUUUCUUCACUGAUAGACAUUUGUUUCACGUCUGUCUUUGGGUUUUGGGCAGAAUGCAGGUAUUGGAUG